CGGAGUUCAGUCUUCCCAGGCCCACCACUUUCAUCGAGUGAGCAUUCGUCUUCUGGUUACGGGGCCAUAGCUCAGCUGGGAGAGCGCGUGCUUUGCAAGCAUGAGGUCGUCGGUUCGAUCCCGUCUGGCUCCACCAGAUGGUUUGAUCACCGAGAUCUUGUACCGUCGUCCGCGAAACAUCACUUCGCAUCCUGCUAGUCUGGAUAGACAGCAAGAUGCGUGUUUUCUGACAUCGUAAAGAGGAGAUCGAUCCGAGUUGGGUCGUGCAGCGGAUUGUUGCGCGAAUCCUUCAUUAUCUCCGGAUCAUUUUCGGCGCUCGCUUUCAGCCGUGAGGUUGAAUGCGAGUUGUAAAAUGAUCCUUUUAGCGAAGCUUGACCGCCUCGCUAUCGGAACGAUCUUACGAAGCAAGCUGGUCUUUCUAGUCAAUGUCCGGCUGUGCGUAGCGUUCAUCGAGGGCGCGUGCCGUAAGGCAAUCGUACAGACAACAUUCUGCCGAGUGUGUGGACAUUGAUAAUGAGAGCAAUCAAGUGCCUUAAGGGUGUUCGGUGGAUGCCUUGGCGCUGAGAGGCGAUGAAGGACGUGCUACGCUGCGAUAAGCCGUGGGGAGCUGCGAAGAAGCUUUGAUCCGCGGAUUUCCGAAUUGGGAAAAACCC
rnacentral:misc_RNA from 1 species